ACUGCAGUUGUUCAGGCAUGCUCAGGGAUGCUUGUGUAACUAUAAAUAAACUUCUCAUGGAGAUCAGCUGGGACCUCGUAGCAGAAAUCUUAUUUAAAACAACUGGAAAUUACUUCGCCUGGGCUUAAGCCACAGCGUAACAGAUACCUUCUCCUCCUCCAGCCCUGCUUUUCUGUUCUGGAAAUGUACAGGAGGGAAGGGCAACUGUCUCAUCCCCAGUUUUGCCCAGU